GGGAAGGAUCAUUAAAAGAUUCUGGGCCCUUACCUGCCCAUUCUAUUCAGCUGUGCGCUUCGGCUGCACGCUGGAUGCAACACCUCACACCUGUGCACCAUUUCGGUUGCGGCUUUGGCCGCUGCCGCUUCAAAUGCAACCACUCAGUCUCGAAUGUAACAAAACUAUAAAAAGUAACAACUUUUCAACAACGGAUCUCUUGGCUCUCGCAUCGAUGAAGAACGCAGCGAAAUGCGAUAAGUAAUGUGAAUUGCAGAAUUCAGUGAAUCAUCGAAUCUUUUGAAACGCAUCUUGCGCUCCUUGGUAUUCCAUGGAGCAUGCCUGUUUGAGUGUCACGUAAACCCUCACCCUUGCGAUGUAACAGUUGCACUGCGGUGGACUUGGACUGUGCCGUAACSGGCUCGUCUUGAAAUGCAUUAGCUGGCGCUUUUAGAGUGCUGGGCGACGGUGUGAUAAUUAUCUGCGCCAAUGCCCUGGGCCUCUUCAGCGGUGCUGCUUACAGUCGUCCCUCUGCGGACAACUAAUAUAUU
rnacentral:rRNA from 1 species